rnacentral:rRNA from 1 species
UACGUAGGGUGCGAGCGUUAAUCGGAAUUACUGGGCGUAAAGCGUACGCAGGCGGUUCGCAAAGUCUGAUGUGAAAGCCCCGGGCUCAACCUGGGAACUGCAUUGGAAACUAACGGGCUCGAGUGUGGCAGAGGGGGGUGGAAUUCCACGUGUAGCAGUGAAAUGCGUAGAGAUGUGGAGGAACACCGAUGGCGAAGGCAGCCCCCUGGGCUAACACUGACGCUCAGGCACGAAAGCGUGGGGAGCAAACAGG